rnacentral:rRNA from 1 species
CCUACGGGUGGCAGCAGUGAGGAAUAUUGGUCAAUGGGCGUAAGCCUGAACCAGCCAAGUCGCGUGAGGGAUGAAGGUUCUAUGGAUCGUAAACCUCUUUUAUAAGGGAAUAAAGUGUGGGACGUGUCCUGUUUUGUAUGUACCUUAUGAAUAAGGAUCGGCUAACUCCGUGCCAGCAGCCGCGGUAAUACGGAGGAUCCGAGCGUUAUCCGGAUUUAUUGGGUUUAAAGGGUGCGUAGGCGGCCUUUUAAGUCAGCGGUGAAAGUCUGUGGCGUAACCAUGGAAUUGCCGUGGAAACUGGGAGGCUUGAGUAUGUUUGAGGCAGGCGGAAUGCGUGGUGUAGCGGUGAAAUGCUUCGAUAUCACGCAGAACCCCGAUUGCGAAGGCAGCCUGCCAAGCCAUGACUGACGCUGAUGCACGAAAGCGUGGGGAUCAAACAGGAUUAGAUACCCCGGGUAGUC